UAUUUGCAAUGUUCUAAUAUCCAAAACUCUAUUGUUCUAAUAUCCAGAAACAGCUAUUUCACCCAGAUUGUGCAACUGUUUUUAAACUAACAGAUUAAAUUACCCCCGAAAUGAGUUUUCGCCGGAACUUUGGUAAUGGAUGCGUAAGAAGAAAGGAGUCAACCAUGAAACUGAACUACUGCUAUUAAUUUUCACGGAUUAACAAAGGGGAUUAGGAGCUCAUUCUUGAGUUCGACUGAAUCUAGGAACAUUACAACUAUUAUAUUAUUAGACUGUGUGAUUUGGGAAAUAAACUUUGAUCAGGUUGCACUUGGGAAAGAAUUUUGCUCUGACGCUGCUAGAGAAAUAGCAGCACCAAGGACAACCAUGUGUUCAUUUGCGGCGUCAACUAACCCAUUGUUUAACCUCAGAAAAACUUCUCAAACCAAUAAAGGGAUGGAUAUGCGUGGUUCAAGGUUCAUUGAUUUCGCUCUGUGCACAUAAAUAAGUCUCAAUGAAUCAAACUCCAUCUGAACGUCUCAAGGCAUGAUCUGUACUGUAUAUGUAAAAAAGAAAAGGGUGUUCUGUCAAUGCAAAAAAAUAUUAAAUUAAUUAAAUAAACCAAAAAUGUUUAAUCUUUGCCUUCCUAGCAAUGAAGACUAUU